GCCCGGUUAGCUUAGUCGGUAGAGCGUGAGACUUUUAAUCUCAAGGUCGCGAGUUCGAGCCUCGCAUUGGGCG